UCACAUCUUCGGGGCAGGGUGCAAUUCCCGACCGACGGUAAGGGGCAUGAAUAGGUGCUUCAAGUCCGUGACCCGCUUUGCUAAGCUCAGCGGUGGAUCCGGUGCAAGUCCGGAACCGACAGUUACAGUCUGGAUGGGAGAAGAUGAGA
rnacentral:ncRNA from 1 species